GAUGAACGCUAGCGGGAGGCCUAACACAUGCAAGUCGAACGGGAUUGGGAGCUUGCUCCCAUGAGAGUGGCGCACGGGUGAGUAACGCGUAUGCAACCUGCCUUUAACUGAGGGAUAGCCCAUAGAAAUGUGGAUUAAUACCUCAUAGUUCUUUUGGUCCGCAUGGAUUGAAAGAUAAAGCUCCGGCGGUUAAAGAUGGGCAUGCGUGACAUUAGCUGGUUGGUGAGGUAACGGCUCACCAAGGCUACGAUGUCUAGGGGUUCUGAGAGGAUGAUCCCCCACACUGGUACUGAGACACGGACCAGACUCCUACGGGUGGCAG
rnacentral:rRNA from 1 species